UUCUCCAGGCUUACUUCUUUAACCGAUCGAAAGGAGUAUACACCACCAAUUUCCCAGCGAACCCACCAGUCAAGUUUAAUUACACAGGCACACCACCUAAAAACAUAAUGUUGGACAGUGGCACCAAGGUGGUGGUGCUACCUUUUAACACUAGCGUGGAGUUGGUGAUGCAGGAUACUAGCAUCCUUGGUGCAGAAAGCCACCCUUUACAUCUUCACGGGUUCAAUUUCUUCGUGUUGGGUCAAGGUGUUGGCAACUUUGACCCCAAGAAGGACCCUGCCAAGUUCAAUCUUCGAGACCCUGCAGAGAGGAACACGGUGGGCGUGCCAUCUGGUGGGUGGGUCGCCAUUCGUUUCCUUGCAGACAAUCCUGGUGAGUUGCAUAAUUACAUUAACUCGAAUGUAAUUUACUUAUCAGAUAUGCAUAUGGACGAUGAAAUUACACUACAAAAUUUUGGUCAGAGUAGGAAGAUAUUAGUGCAUGUAUCAGAUUAGAUAGAUGCAAGGUUGUGAUCAAUCCUGACCCUGUUAGAACUGUAAAGGGCAAAAACAAAAAGAAAAGCUUGUGACAUAAAAUAGACAUUUUUCAAAAUCAACCAAAUUUGGCUGGUAACUUGGCAGAUCAUUUUACUUGGAUAAAUCAAACAGAGUUAUCGAUUUAGGUAAAUAUUCUUUCACCAUUAAUCAAAUCAAAUGUAGUUGUCUGUUUCUUUCGAUUAACUUUUGAUUGUGCAUGAAUAGGUGUCUGGUUUAUGCACUGCCAUCUGGAAGUACACACUAGCUGGGGCUUGAAGAUGGCAUGGGUUGUCAACGAUGGAAACGGCCGCAAACAGAAGCUGCUACCUCCGCCUGCCGAUCUUCCUAAAUGCUGAAAUUCGAUUGUUGCUCUCUUUCCCUUCCCUUUUUUUUUUAUACUAAUACAAUUUUACGGUAUUCGUUUUAUUCUUUUAUUUCCUAUUCUUAUGUAUGCUAGGAGAAAAGGCUGUUGGCUCUAUAGCUUAAGCUUGUAUUUGGUUCUGCUAUUACUCCAGCACCAACACCAGAAAAAGAACUGGUGUGGCUUUUUGUAUAGGUUAUCAUCAGGCUAUCUACCACCGUAAGAACUAUUGUUAUGUGACAGAAUCUACAUAAACAGAUCUCUACAAAUACAAUUUUCCUGUUCUCUCUGCUUCAUCCAGACUCCAUCCUGAAUCUUAUCAAGUUUUGCAGCUACUUAGCUCAAGUUGCUUCAAUGAAAAGAGAUGCAAUUUAUAUCCAUGUGAUCAUAAUUAUAUGGUUAUGGUGGAUCAUUAUUAUAUCCAUCCAAGCUAAACCAGUUCGUUUCAGAUGAAAUAUAACUAAUUGUAAACAAUUAACCCUCCAGUCAAAAACUUUCUUUUUUUGCCCAAAGCACUCAUUUAUUUUGUGAGUGAACAACACAGACUACUAGGAUUUAUUGGAUAUUUUCAGUAAUAAUAAUAAUAAUAAUAAUAAUAAUUGUAGGACACAAUGUCAUAUUAGAAAUAAAGAAAAAUGAAUUAUUUAAUUAAAGAAGAGAAUAAGUCUAUAAUAAUUAGACCAAAGUAGGUUAAAGUGCAAAUAAGUCAUGGAUGGGCUUUCUGAGUUUUAAUUGAUCUUGAAAUUAAUUAAAUUAAUAAUAUAUAAUUAAUAUAUUAUAAAGGUACUUGCCACUUGCAGGUAAAGAUAAAGAUAAAGAUAAUUAAAUAAUAAAUUAUAUUUAUUUUUAAUUACUAUUAUAAGUAUCUAUUGAAAAUAUACUAUUGUGAUUUUUGAAAACUAACAGUUGUAUUUGUUGGGAAUAGUCAUUUAUAUCUAUAAACACACUUUUAUCUGGUUCUAAAAGACACAUAAAAAAAAUCUCUCAUUUCUUUUUUAAUAUUCUCUAAAUUUCCUUUAUAUCAUUUUUUCCUUAAAACUAGUGACAUCGAUAUACGUUUUAAAGCCAAUUCAUUAUUUUCCAAUUUUGUAUUCUAAAAGAUUGAUCUAAAUUCUGGAGGAAUUGUUCUAUUUAGCCUCGCUUAUAGGAACAAAAUGCCCAUAUACACAUAAGAAUAAUAAUACUCUUUCAGCUGAAGAUACCAAGCAUCUAGGGUGAAUAUUAGGUUAAUUGGAUUGUAAAAUUUUGAAAAUUGAGUAAAUUAAAUUUUCAUAAAUAAUAACUGAAAAUCGAUCAAAUUAUAUUUUGAAAAAUAAUCAAAAUCAAUUUAUCUCGAUCGGUUCAAUAAAUGUUACCAUUUUUAAGUAUUUUUUUUCAACAAUUUCAACAAUAUUUUCAAUAACACUUUCAACAACAUUUUUAAUAAAGAUAAGCAAAAUUAUUUCUCUCCACAUUCUAAUCAAGAUAAAUUGGACCUUACAUCAAGAAAUAAAUAAAUCCAACAUAAUAUUUUUUACUUGACAAGUCAACUUAACAUUAAUCAAUUUUUCGAUUCGUUCAGAUUCUAAAUUUUAAAUACAAAAAAUUAAUUGAAAUACUCAAAUAACUUUUGUUGGGAAAAAAAAGGAAAGAAUAAAAAAAAGAAAAGAAAAUUAUUUUUUCUUCACUAAUGUUUUUCUCUAAAUUUAGAAGGUAGAAUGUAAAAAUAUAUUAAUUUUCUUCUGUUUCUUACCCAACAAUAGAAAAUAACCAAUUUUCAAAGGCCUGGCAAAACCAUUCCCAUGCAAUAUGUAGCACUCUAUGGAUAAUUACAGACUGCCAACAGCAAAAGCAAAAGCAGAGGCGAUUCCUACUUGGACCAACCAUUGUAAACACUUUACUUUGGUCUCAUCCAUGCGCAUUCCUAACAUGUUCGAGUUAGUGUAGGCAAGGCCAAAACAAGAGCUAGAUUUAGAUCUAUUGAGACAAGGGUGGUGCAAGAUAUGUUGCAGUAAGGUACCUAUCAGAAGCUGUUAAGGAACUUGGAGAUGUACAGUUAGGAACAACCGACAGCUAACCAGAUGGUUUAAGCACAUUCUCUUUUGGCUUGAUUAGUACGUAUUAAACGGUAGGAGGUUGAAGGCUACCCAGCACCCAUGCCCACAUUACCCCCCUUUUCUAAUAAAUGGAUUCAUCAAUCCUUUUCCAACCUUCCUUUUGAAGUAUAGAAUAAUUUGGAUUUUAGUCCUACUGGAACCAUAAAACUUUGUUUUAAAAACUAAUUACCUCACUUCAAAGACAAUUAUAUCCUCAGAUAUUUCCUCAUGUCCUAGGCCAAAGAAUUGAAAAUGAAUAAAAAUGGUUCAUUCCAGUCCUUAAUUAGAAAUUUAGAAUCAGUCAGUGGGUUUUGAAAGAUUUUCUGAUCAGAGAAAGAACAGCUAAUGAUGGAAAUGGACCAAUUCUUGAUUGACUGUAACAUAAACCAUUGUUUAUAUGUCUUCAUCAGGCUCAUGUCAUCUUUAAACUUCAUUAAUUUAGGGUACCUUGGAACUUUAAGAUGAGGAAUUUAUAGUUCAAAUUAGAUUUCCGUUAUGAAAAACUAGUCUGUCUUGGACAUCACUCUAAAGGGAUUCACCAGCAGCUACUCGGACCAAAUAUGCAAGUUUCUGCUGAAGACACAGCUUGUCGACAGUGAAACAGGGAUUAUCUGAAUUUUUACUCACCUAAUUAACAAACCAAUCAGUCCUUCUCCCACUAUAUAAACUGCCUCACUUGUUCCUUGUCUCAUCAUCCAAACAAGUUAUAUCCCACUUUGACCAUCCUUGUCAUUUUUGAUAGAUAAUCACAACAAAAUAUUACUAAAAGAAAACAGAAAAGAGACAUGAGUUCUGUUCUUCUUACAUCAUCAGCCUUUAUCAGGGUUUUUCUCCUAGCGUUAUGUGCUGUCUCGUUACUACCUGAUUUGGCAGUUGCAAAGCAUGCAGGCAUUACCAGGCACUACAAUUUUGAUGUAAGUUUUAAUUUCCCAUUUCUUAGGCUCUUUUAGUGUGUUUUUAAGUGUGGCUGUAGCUGAGGCUAACAUUUCCACCGCCAUUCUUCUUUCUUUUUCUUGUUAAUCUCGUAAAGAUUAGGAUGCAAAAUGUGACAAGGUUGUGCCAAACAAAGAGCAUUGUGACGGUCAAUGGCCAGUUCCCAGGGCCUCGGAUUAUAGCUAGGGAAGGCGAUCGCCUUCUCAUCAAGGUGGUUAACCAUGUUCAAUACAAUGUCACUCUUCAUUGGUAUGGGAUUUCACUUCCUACUGCUUUCUCUCUUUUAUUAAUGGUUAGCAUUUUAUUUUAAAGUUGAUCAAAUGUUGGCUUUCACUUGGGAACUAGGCAUGGAAUCCGACAGCUAAGGACUGGAUGGGCUGAUGGACCUGCCUAUAUAACUCAGUGUCCAAUUCAGACAGGACAAUCCUAUGUAUACAACUUCACCAUCACUGGCCAAAGAGGGACCUUAUUUUGGCAUGCUCACAUCUCUUGGCUAAGAGCUACUCUUUAUGGACCUAUUGUCAUCCUCCCAAAACGACAUGCCUCUUACCCAUUUCCCCAACCAUUCAAGGAAGUUCCCAUCAUUUUUGGUAAUUAACACAACUUCUCACAUCAGGCAUUGGAAGAAGAAUAAUUUUGCAUCUUGAAUUAAUUUUGAGUUUUGCCUGGAAUUGCAGGAGAGUGGUGGAAAGCAGAUACAGAAACUAUUAUCAAUCAGGCCAUGGCAACUGGAGGGGCACCGAAUAUCUCAGAUGCUUUCACCAUUAAUGGUCUCCCAGGUCCCUCUUACAACUGCUCAGCCAAAGGUACUACAUUACAUAUUCAGCGUCACUAUCGCAAGCAAUAUUUUGUCAAUUUCCAUCGGAAAGGUUCCAAUUGAGGGACACACUAAAAAAAAGUAAACUAAAUUUUAUGCAGAAACAUUCAAGCUUAAGGUGAAGCCAGGUAAAACCUAUCUUCUGCGCCUGAUCAACGCUGCACUCAAUGACGAGCUCUUUUUCAGAAUUGCAAACCACACAGUCACUGUUGUAGAAGCCGAUGCAGUCUAUGUCAAACCUUUCAAAACAGAUAUUGUUCUUAUCACUCCAGGGCAGACCACUAAUGUCCUUCUCAAGGCCAAAUCCAAGACCUCCGGGGCCAACUUUGCUCUGUCAGCCAGGCCUUAUGCCACUGGCCCUGCCACUUUUGACAAUACCACGACAAUCGGAAUUCUAGAGUAUGAGAAAUCUGCCUCUGCCUCAAACUCUAACAACAAGAAACUCCCGCUUCUAAAAGCAAAACUUCCACAGUUUAAUGACUCCACCUAUGCUAUGAAAUUCAACCAGAAAAUCCGUAGCCUCGCCACAGCUAAAUUCCCUGCUAAAGUCCCAAAAAAUGUUGAUAGGCGCUUCUUCUUCACAGUAGGACUAGGGAUACUCCCAUGCUCACAAAACCAAACUUGCCAAGGUCCCAACAACACUAGGCCAGCUGCUGCAGUCAACAAUGUUUCAUUUGUGCAACCAAAUAUUGCUCUUCUCCAGGCUCACUUCUUUAACCGAUCGAAAGGAGUAUACACCACCAAUUUCCCAGCGAACCCACCGUUCAAGUUUAAUUACAUAGGCACACCACCUAAAAACAUAAUGUUGGACAGCGGCACCAAGGUGAUGGUGCUACCUUUUAACACUAGCGUGGAGUUGGUGAUGCAGGAUACUAGCAUCCUUGGUGCAGAAAGCCACCCCUUACAUCUUCACGGAUUCAAUUUCUUUGUGUUGG
rnacentral:lncRNA from 1 species